rnacentral:rRNA from 1 species
UUGUGUCUAUUGCGGUGAUUCAUAAUAACUGAUCGAAUCUCUUUUUGAGAUAAAUCAUUCAAGUUUCUGCCCUAUCAGCUUUCGAUGGUAGUGUAUUGGACUACCAUGGCAGUAACGGGUAACGAAGAAUUAGGGUUCGAUUUCGGAGAGGGAGCAUGAGAAACGGCUACCACAUCUAAGGAAGGCAGCAGGCGCGUAAAUUACCCAAUCCUGACUCAGGGAGGUAGUGACAAGAAAUAGCAAACCGGGAACCUCAUGGUUUCACGGUAUUGCAAUGAGAACAAUUUAAAACCCUUAGCAAGAAUCAAGUGGAGGACAAGUCUGGUGCCAGCACCCGCGGUAAUUCCAGCUCCACUAGCGUAUAUUAAAGUUGUUGCAGUUAAAAAGCUCGUAGUUGAACCUCUGUCUGGGGCUAGUUUUGGCUUUGGUCAGGCUAGUUCUAGGCAUCCGCCUACAAGACUUAGAGGGCAUUCAGUUGUUCACUAGGAGGAGUAGGCAUUUUACUUUGAAAAAAUUAGAGUGUUUAAGGCAGGCAAUCGCCCGCAUAUAUUAGCAUGGAAUAAUAGAAUAGGACACUUUUCCAUUUCGUUGGUUAUUGGAAUCGUGUAAUGAUUAAUAGGGACAGUUGUGGGCAUUUGUAUUUAAUUGUCAGAGGUGAAAUUCUUGGAUUUAUUAAAGACAAACUAACGCGAAAGCAUUUGCCAAGGAUGUUUUCAUUAAUCAAGAACGAAAGUUUGGGGAUCAAAGACGAUCAGAUACCGUCCUAGUCUUAACUAUAAACUAUUCCGACUCAAUGUUUGACUGGCUUAUAUAACCAGUUGAGCGUUGUAUGAGAAAUCAAAGUCUUUAGGUUCUGGGGGGAGUAUGGUUGCAAAGCUGAAACUUAAAGGAAUUGACGGAAGAGCACAACCAGGAGUGGAUUCUGCGGCUUAAUUUGACUCAACACGGGGAAACUUACCAGGUUAAAACAAUAGUGGGAUUGACAGUUUGAGAGCGCUUUCUUGAUUGGUUGGGUGGUGGUGCAUGGCCGUUCUUAGUUGGUGGAGUGAUUUGUCUGCUUAAUUGCGUUAACGAACGAGACCUUAACCUGCUUACUAGACUGGCGAUCAUCAAUCGUUAGCUCUUCUUAGAGGGACUUUGGUUGUUUUAACUCCAAGGAAGUUUGAGGCAAUAACAGGUCUGUGAUGCCCUUAGAUAUCCUGGGCCGCACGCGUCAUACAAUGACUA